CCGCCAAUAAACACCAAAGAAGAAGAAGAAGAAGAAGAAGAAGAACUACGCAGAUAGCAAGAGAAAGCGGAGCUCGCUGGAUUUGAUACGUUUUAUGUCCUAGAAAACAUUUGUACAGGUCACACUGAACAGCAGAUUGUUGUCUCAAGCCAGUGCUGAUCAAUGACAGUUUAUCUGCAGUAUGAGAGAGAAGAGAGGAAAGAUGAGUCUCUCACAGAAACAGAGUGUAAGAUCAGGAUCACAUGUGUCUGUGAAGAGUGAGCGGUCAAAGGAAUGGUGAAGGACCGAACUUCAGUGAGAAAAAAAACAUCUAUCAAAAGUGUAAGAUCAGGAUCACAUGUGUCCAGCUCUGUGUCU